rnacentral:rRNA from 1 species
UACGAAGGUGGCAAGCGUUGUUCGGAUUUAUCGUGGGCGUAACAGGGAGCGUAGGCGGUUGGUAUAAGCCCUCCGUGAAAUCUACCAGGCUUAAACCCUGGAAACGUGCAGAGGGGACUGUUCAGCGUAGAGGAUGGGAGAGGAGCGCGGAAUUCCCGUGGUAGAGGUGAAAUUGUAGAUAUCGGGAGGAACGACCGGUGCGAAGGCGGCGAAGUCUGGGUCG